CUGGGUUUGUUUUGUCGAUUUCAUCAUCAUGUCCACCGAUGUGCAUUUGCAAUUUGAAACGCAUAAAAGGUUUCUGCCAUACUAUAUGUGCAAUGUCUGCUUCUGGAAACACGAUCUGAAGAAUAUGCAAUCUUCGUUUGAUUAGCCUAAUCAACUCUCUUCGUUCAAUUAGCCUAAUCAACUCCCUACGUAUUUUCUGAACUUUUGUUCAGAUAGUCUGCUGUAAAAUUGGUAAUUGUUGUUUUAGCAUUUCUAUCUUUUUAUUUUUUGUUAGAAAUCCAAAAUUAACAACCCAGUUUUCUGGGACAUAGCAGAAUGG
rnacentral:lncRNA from 1 species